AGAUGAGCCAGCUUCCAGCCACCUCCACCAAAGUACCAGGCAUAUUAUGGCAAAGCUUCAUAACUUAUCUGGGCCCAAGAUAUAGAAGGUCUCAGGCGAAGAAGAAGGAGAAGAUGAAGGCAAAGAAGAAGGAGGAGGAGAAGGAGGAGAAAGAGAAGAAGGAGAAGGAGGAGGAGAAGGAAAAGCAGCCUCAGCAGCUCUCAGCUUAUUAGAGAUCCUUCAUUCCUCUUGACUCAAUUCACACUUCAUAUCCCCAUCCUGGUUCUUCCUCUCUUGCGGGGUCUAGUUUGGGCUACACCUCCCUUAUUCUUCUUUUACCAUUUCAACCAAGCCUCUGAAAUAUAUUUAUUCACACAUCUUAA